rnacentral:rRNA from 1 species
UGCCAGCAGCCGCGGUAAUACGGAGGGUGCAAGCGUUGUCCGGAAUCAUUGGGCGUAAAGAGUUCGUAGGUGGUUUGUUAAGUUUGGUGUUAAAUGCAGAGGCUCAACUUCUGUUCGGCAUCGGAUACUGGCAGACUAGAAUGCGGUAGAGGUAAAGGGAAUUCCUGGUGUAGCGGUGAAAUGCGUAGAUAUCAGGAGGAACAUCGGUGGCGUAAGCGCUUUACUGGGCCGUAAUUGACACUGAGGAACGAAAGCCAGGGUAGCAAAUGGGAUUAGAUACCCCAGUAGUCCUGGCCGUAAACGAUGGAUACUAGGUGUUGCGGGUAUCGACCCCUGCAGUGCCGUAGCAAACGCGUUAAGUAUCCCGCCUGGGGAGUACGCACGCAAGUGUGAAACUCAAAGGAAUUGACGGGGACCCGCACAAGCGGUGGAACAUGUGGUUUAAUUCGAAGCAACGCGAAGAACCUUACCAGGGCUUGACAUCUAACAAACCUUUGUGAAAGCAGAGGGUGCUCUUCGGAGAAUGUUAAGACAGGUGGUGCACGGUUGUCGUCAGCUCGUGUCGUGAGAUGUUGGGUUAAGUCCCGCAACGAGCGCAACCCUCGUCGUUAGUUGGUACUAUCGGUAUACUUAUAGUAACCUCUCUAGCGAGACUGCCGGUGAUAAACCGGAGGAAGGUGAGGACGAGGUCAAAUCAUCAUGCCCCUUAUGCUCUGGGCUACACACGUGUUACAAUGGCCGGUACAAUGAGCCGCCAACUCGCGAGAGUGAGCAAAUCUCUAAAAGCCGGUCUCAGUUCGGAUUGCAGUCUGCAACUCGACUGCAUGAAGUCGGAAUCGCUAGUAAACGCAGAUCAGCACGCUGCGUUGAAUACGUUCCCGGGUCUUGUACACACCGCCCGUCACACCAUGGAAGUCGACCACGCCCGAAGUACGUGAGCUAACCGUAAGGAAGCAGCGUCCUAAGGCAGGGUUGGUGACUGGGGUGAAGUCGUAACAAGGUAGCCGUACCGGAAGGUGUGGCUG